CCUACGGGGCGCAGCAGUGGGGAAUAUUGCACAAUGGGCGCAAGCCUGAUGCAGCCAUGCCGCGUGUGUGAAGAAGGCCUUCGGGUUGUAAAGCACUUUCAGUCGUGAGGAAGGUAGUGUAGUUAAUAGCUGCAUUAUUUGACGUUAGCGACAGAAGAAGCACCGGCUAACUCCGUGCCAGCAGCCGCGGUAAUACGGAGGGUGCGAGCGUUAAUCGGAAUUACAGGGCGUAAAGCGCAUGCAGGUGGUUUGUUAAGUCAGAUGUGAAAGCCCGGGGCUCGACCUCGGAAUAGCAUUUGAAACUGGCAGACUAGAGUACUGUAGAGGGGGGUAGAAUUUCAGGUGUAGGGGUGAAAUGCGUAGAGAUCUGAAGGAAUACCGGUGGCGAAGGCGGCCCCCUGGACAGAUACUGACACUCAGAUGCGAAAGCGUGGGGAGCAAACAGGAUUAGAUACCCGUGUAGUC
rnacentral:rRNA from 1 species